UCUUUUGUUAGAGCUUUGUUUUUUCUCAGGUCUGCACCUGCUCGCUUGCAAUCCGGCGCCAUCGCCCUUUGGGCAAGGAUGGUAAUGGGGAGCAGCGAGGUGGGGACCGAGUUGACGUCUGCCUGGCCUUGGCGAUGCAGGCGCGCGCCCGGGAGGACUAAUAGAAUGGCGCCAGGAGACGGGUCACUGAUGCCCAGGUGACGCAGGAGCUCUUGGUGUUACCUGGCGUUAUGGACGUGAUACCACAGCUGCUUGCGUGAGGAUGCUCUGGAGUCUUAAGAGAACCCUUUUUCUGAAGAUGUUAGGUGGUUAAGGAAAGAAGGAAUUGUAUUCUUGGUGAUGUCUGGAAGAGAUGCAUGGCUUUGAAAGAUGAUUAUGAAAUACAAGGAAAGGAAUGAAAUCAAACGAUGGUUUUUGUAAGAGCAACAUUUACAGGUGUAUUGAGUAAUGUGAAGAUCUCUAUAAGGCCUGGUGACCUCAGUCACGGGACCCACAGUGUGGGAGAAGAGACCUGACUCCUGAAAGUUGUCUGCUGACCACAUAUACACAAUAAGUAAAUAAAUGUAAUUUAAAAAAAUCAAAAUAGUAAAACUGAAACAUUACAAUGUCGCUGUUUUAUUGAAAUGUAAACAUGAUGCAAAGGAUUAUGGAAUAAAUUGGUUGCUUUGUGACAGUUUUGUUCAAAACUUUAUCCUGUUUUGAAAUGAGAAAGGGAUUAACAUUGUCAAAAGAAUUAAAGUCUGUAAAUCUUU